UGAGGAACAUGACCUUCGGCGGGGGAUAGCCGGCCCAACGGCCGGGUAAUACCGCGUACGACCACUUUGGGACAUCCCUAGGUGGUGAAAGCUGCAAUGCGCCGAUGGAGUGCCUCGCGGCCUAUCAGCUAGUUGGGUGGGGUAACGGCUCACCAAGGCAACGGACGGGUAGCUGGUCUGAGAGAAUGGCCAGCCACAUUGGGACUGAGACACGGCCAGACCUCCGUACGGGAGGNAGG
rnacentral:rRNA from 1 species